rnacentral:rRNA from 1 species
UACGAAGGGUGCUAGCGUUGUUCGGAAUCACUGGGCGUAAAGCGCGCGUAGGCGGCUUUUCAAGUCAGGGGUGAAAUCCCACAGCUUAACUGUGGAACUGCCUUUGAAACUGUAAAGCUGGAAUGCAAGAGGGGAUAGCGGAAUUCCUAAUGUAGAGGUGAAAUUCGUAGAUAUUAGGAGGAACACCGGUGGCGAAGGCGGCUAUCUGGAUUGCAAUUGACGCUGAGGCGCGAAAGCAUGGGGAUCAAACAGG